GCAAUACGAUAGGAUCACACAUGCAGAUGAACGGUUUUUCUUCCACCGGAGCUUGCUCACCCGCUAGCUAAGGAGUGGCGAACGGGCGAGUAACACGUGGGUAACCUACCCUCGAGCGGAGGAUGCACUUGUCUUUGGGAGCUAAUACCGCAUAACAAAGAAAACCGCAUGGUUUUCUUUUGAAAGGCGCUUUUGACGUCUCGAGGAUGGACCCGCGCUCCUUUUCUAGUUGGUGAGGAGCGGCUCACCAAGGCAACGAUGCAUACUUGACCUGAGAGGGUGAUCGGCCACAUUGGGACUGAGCCAUGUCCAAACUCUAUACGGGAGGCAGCAGUAGGGAAUCUUCGGCAAUGGACGAAAGUCUGACCGAGCAACGCCGCGUGAGUGAAGAAGGUUUUCGGAUCGUAAAACUCUGUUGUUAGAGAAGAACAAGGGUGAGAGUAGAAAGUUCACCCCUUGACGGUAUCUAACCAGAAAGCCACGGCUAACUACGUGCCAGCAGCCGCGGUAAUACGUAGGUGGCAAGCGUUGUCCGGAUUUAUUGGGCGUAAAGCGAGCGCAGGCGGUUUCUUAAGUCUGAUGUGAAAGCCCCCGGCUCAACCGGGGAGGGUCAUUGGAAACUGGGAAACUUGAGUGCAGAAGAGGAGAGUGGAAUUCCAUGUGUAGCGGUGAAAUGCGUAGAUAUAUGGAGGAACACCAGUGGCGAAGCCGGCUCUCUGGUCUGUAACUGACGCUGAGGCUCGAAAGCGUGGGGAGCAAACAGGAUUAGAUACCCUGGUAGUCCACGCCGUAAACGAUGAGUGCUAAGUGUUGGAGGGUUUCCGCCCUUCAGUGCUGCAGCUAACGCAUUAAGCACUCCGCCUGGGGAGUACGACGCAAGUUGAAACUCAAAGGAAUUGACGGGGCCCGCACAGCGGUGAGCAUGUGUUAAUUCGAGCACGCGAGACCUUACCAGUCUUGACAUCCUUUGACACUCUAGAGAUAGAGCUUCCUCUUCGGGCAAGUGACAGUGUGCAUGGUUGUCUGGUUGUCGUCAGCUCGUGUCGUGAGAUGUUGGGUUAAGUCCCGCAACGAGCGCAACCCUUAUUGUUAGUUGCCAUCAUUUAGUUGGGCACUCUAGCGAGACUGCCGGUGACAAACCGGAGGAAGGUGGGGAUGACGUCAAAUCAUCAUGCCCCUUAUGACCUGGGCUACACACGUGCUACAAUGGGAAGUACAACGAGUCGCGAAGUCGCGAGGCUAAGCUAAUCUCUUAAAGCUUCUCUCAGUUCGGAUUGUAGGCUGCAACUCGCCUACAUGAAGCCGGAAUCGCUAGUAAUCGCGGAUCAGCACGCCGCGGUGAAUACGUUCCCGGGCCUUGUACACACCGCCCGUCACACCACGAGAGUUUGUAACACCCGAAGUCGGUGAGGUAACCUUUUGG
rnacentral:rRNA from 1 species